UCACUGAGCAUCUCCCAGAAGAACCUCCUGGAGAAUCUGCAGGGUCAUUCCUGGUUAUAGCCAUGGUGACCACUUGAGUGAAGUGGUUGCCAAUCCAUGGUACCAAACCAACGCCUGUGCAUCCAGUGAGCAGAGAGUGGAUGUAGGGCAGGACUCCCCACUCCCAAGGGUAAUGGAAAAGAAAAGAUGAAUUGCAGCCUUACAAACCUUUCCAUGAGUUCUUCAGUAUGAAUUAUUUUAUAUAAUUCACAGAGAAGGUGACAUGAUUUACAUCAAUAUAUACAGUUAAAUUGUUCUAUAUUGUAAACCAUUAACAAAGAGGAAUGAAGGGCUUAUGAAGAAGAGUGGAGA
rnacentral:lncRNA from 1 species